rnacentral:rRNA from 1 species
GACAGAGGGUGCAAACGUUGCUCGGAAUUACUGGGCGUAAAGCGCGUGUAGGUGGAUUGGUGUGUCAGAUGUGAAAGCCCUGGGCUCAACCCAGGAACUGCACCUGAAACUACCAGUCUUGAGUGGUGGAGAGGGAAGUGGAAUUCCUGGUGUAGAGGUGAAAUUCGUAGAUAUCAGGAGGAACACCAGUGGCGAAGGCGGCUUCCUGGACACCAACUGACGCUGAGACGCGAAAGCGUGGGGAGCAAACAGG